rnacentral:rRNA from 1 species
GAUGAACGCUGGCGGCGUGCCUAACACAUGCGAGUCGAACGAAGCACCUUACCUGAUUCUUCGGAUGAAAGUUUGGUGACUGAGUGGCGGACGGGUGAGUAACGCGUGGGUAACCUGCCCUGUACAGGGGGAUAACAGCUGGAAACGGCUGCUAAUACCGCAUAAGCGCACGAGGAGACAUCUCCUUGUGUGAAAAACUCCGGUGGUACAGGAUGGGCCCGCGUCUGAUUAGCUGGUUGGCAGGGUAACGGCCUACCAAGGCAACGAUCAGUAGCCGGUCUGAGAGGAUGAACGGCCACAUUGGAACUGAGACACGGUCCAAACUCCUACGGGAGGCAGCAGUGGGGAAUAUUGCACAAUGGGGGAAACCCUGAUGCAGCAACGCCGCGUGAGUGAAGAAGUAUUUCGGUAUGUAAAGCUCUAUCAGCAGGGAAGAUAAUGACGGUACCUGACGAAGAAGCUCCGGCUAAAUACGUG